CCUACGGGGGGCAGCAGUGAGGAAUAUUGGUCAAUGGGCGGAAGCCUGAACCAGCCAAGUCGCGUGAGGGAUUAAGGCCCUGCGGGUCGUAAACCUCUUUUGCCGGGGAGCAGAGGUCCGGACGUGUCCGGGCCGGGAGAGUACCCGGAGAAAAAGCAUCGGCUAACUCCGUGCCAGCAGCGGCGGUAAUACGGAGGAUGCGAGCGUUAUCCGGAUUUAUUGGGGUAACAGGGUGCGUAGGCGGGCAUUUGAGCCGGCGGUCAAAUGUCGGGGCUCAACCCCGGCCUGCCGUCGGAACUGGGUGCCUUGAGUGGGCGAGAAGUAUGCGGAAUGCGUGGUGUAGCGGUGAAAUGCAUAGAUAUCACGCAGAACCCCGAUUGCGAAGGCAGCAUACCGGCGCCCUACUGACGCUGAGGCACGAAAGUGCGGGUAUCGAACAGGAUUAGAUACCCUUGUAGUC
rnacentral:rRNA from 1 species